rnacentral:rRNA from 1 species
AUUGAACGCUGGCGGCAGGCCUAACACAUGCAAGUCGAGCGGAUGAAGGGAGCUUGCUCCUGGAUUCAGCGGCGGACGGGUGAGUAAUGCCUAGGAAUCUGCCUGGUAGUGGGGGAUAACGUCCGGAAACGGGCGCUAAUACCGCAUACGUCCUGAGGGAGAAAGUGGUGGAUCUUCGGACCUCACGCUAUCAGAUGAGCCUAGGUCGGAUUAGCUAGUUGGUGGGGUAAAGGCCUACCAAGGCGACGAUCCGUUACUGGUCUGAGAGGAUGAUCAGUCACACUGGAGCUGAGACACGGACCAGGCUCCUACGGGAGGCAGCAGUGGGGAAUAUUGGACAGUGGGCGAAAGCCUGAUCCAGCCAUGGCGCGUGUGUGAAGAAGGGCUUCGGAUUGUAAAGCACGUUAAGUUGGGAGGAAGGGCAGUAAGUUAAUACCUUGCUGUUUUGACGGUACCAACAGAAUAAGCACCGGCUAACUUCGUG